rnacentral:tRNA from 1 species
UGGCGAUUAGCUCAGUUGGUUUAGAACAUUCCGUUGCAAUGCACGGAAGGGUCGGGGGUUCGACUCCCUCAUCGCCCACUA